AUAAAAUCCUAAUUUUAACCCUAAUAUCACAAAUCCCUAAUUUGUAUACUAAAUCCCUAAAUCUACAAUCAGAAAGGGAAAGAAAGGGAACGGGGAGCUCGAGGGGGAAACAGAAGGGAAGAAAGAAGGAAUCGAAGAACAGAGGGAGAGGGUGAGGGAACAGAGGAAGAAGAGAGGAAGGAGGAUCACUGCGCCGUGCUGCUCCCUGCGCCGGUUGCCGUCGCUGUCGCCAGAGCCAGAGGACAGAGAGAGAACGCUCGCAAGGGAGAGGACAAACGCGAGGAGAAGGAGAGCUCGUGCACGAAGGACAGCGCCGCCACUCCGUCGCCGUGCAGCUGUUGCUGCCACCCCGUCACCAUCGUUGUCGCGGCUGGAAGCAUAAAGUUCGAACAGAGGGGGGAGAAACCGCGAGUGAAGGGUGACGCUGGCCCUCUGUCGCUGCUGCUAUCACCAAGCAUCAUUGUCGUUGCCGCCAAAGGCCAAGGCCUUAUCGUUGUCAUCGAUUCUGCCUGGAGCCACCACCCACUUGUCACAGCGAGUUAGUUACUCUGCCACCGCUGAAUUUGUCGUGUUGAGACUGAAACUGCCACCUUGACUCUGGUUUGACCUUUUUCUUAAAUAUGACCCAUUUACACGUUUUAUUAUCACUGCCAUGCUUGUUCUGAGUUGAUUCUGGUAUAUGUCUUGUCUUGAAAUCCCCAGGGCUGUAAUUGUUCUUAAUUCCCAUCCAAUUUGAAUUCCCUAUUUCGCUGUAACUAUCAUUAUUGUUGUGGAAUUGUCGCCGUUGCGAGCAUGAUUAGAGAUAGUGCCAGAUUCGGAUUUGCGUGGGAAUUACCACUGCUGUGAGUCAAAAGGAAAAGCCGCUCCCAGCGUUUAAUCUAACGAGUUUCGACAUCGAGUGACACAGUUUGAAGACGCAAUUUGAAGCUGCGAGCGAUUAGUAGGUUUUCUUUAUGGUUUUAAUUGCUUUCAUAGAGUCCCCUCGCCAUUAUCCCUUGAUAUUUUACUUUAACAGAUGGAUAGGUGUUGUAUUUGAGUUUAUAUGACUUCUUAUGUAUAAGAAUUACUAUUAAUAAUACUUAUAUGAUUGUUAUUAUUAUUUGCAAUGCUUAUCUUUGAUACAUGUCUUGAAUGAAUAAAAA